rnacentral:rRNA from 1 species
AGGCUUAACACAUGCAAGUCGAGGGGCAGCAUGGUCUUAGCUUGCUAAGACUGAUGGCGACCGGCGCACGGGUGAGUAACACGUAUCCAACCUGCCGUCUACUCUUGGACAGCCUUCUGAAAGGGAGAUUAAUACAAGAUGGCAUCAUGAGUCCGCAUGUUCACAUGAUUAAAGGUAUUCCGGUAGACGAUGGGGAUGCGUUCCAUUAGAUAGUAGGCGGGGUAACGGCCCACCUAGUCUUCGAUGGAUAGGGGUUCUGAGAGGAAGGUCCCCCACAUUGGAACUGAGACACGGUCCAAACUCCUACGGGAGGCAGCAGUGAGGAAUAUUGGUCAAUGGGCGAGAGCCUGAACCAGCCAAGUAGCGUGAAGGAUGACUGCCCUAUGGGUUGUAAACUUCUUUUAUAAAGGAAUAAAGUCGGGUAUGUAUACCCGUUUGCAUGUACUUUAUGAAUAAGGAUCGGCUAACUCCGUGCCAGCAGCCGCGGUAAUACGGAGGAUCCGAGCGUUAUCCGGAUUUAUUGGGUUUAAAGGGAGCGUAGAUGGAUGUUUAAGUCAGUUGUGAAAGUUUGCGGCUCAACCGUAAAAUUGCAGUUGAUACUGGAUAUCUUGAGUGCAGUUGAGGCAGGCGGAAUUCGUGGUGUAGCGGUGAAAUGCUUAGAUAUCACGAAGAACUCCGAUUGCGAAGGCAGCCUGCUAAGCUGCAACUGACAUUGAGGCUC